ACGAACGCUGGCGGCGCGCCUAACACAUGCAAGUCGAACGAGCGAGAGAGAGCUUGCUUUCUCGAGCGAGUGGCGAACGGGUGAGUAACGCGUGAGGAACCUGCCUCAAAGAGGGGGACAACAGUUGGAAACGACUGCUAAUACCGCAUAAGCCCACGGGUCGGCAUCGACCAGAGGGAAAAGGAGCAAUCCGCUUUGAGAUGGCCUCGCGUCCGAUUAGCUAGUUGGUGAGGUAACGGCCCACCAAGGCAACGAUCGGUAGCCGGACUGAGAGGUUGAACGGCCACAUUGGGACUGAGACACGGCCCAGACUCCUACGGGAGGCAGCAGUGGGGAAUAUUGCACAAUGGGGGAAACCCUGAUGCAGCGACGCCGCGUGGAGGAAGAAGGUCUUCAGAUUGUAAACUCCUGUUGUUGAGGAAGAUAAUGACGGUACUCAACAAGGAAGUGACGGCUAACUACGUGCCAGCAGCCGCGGUAAAACGUAGGUCACAAGCGUUGUCCGGAAUUACUGGGUGUAAAGGGAGCGCAGGCGGGAAGACAAGUUGGAAGUGAAAUCCAUGGGCUCAACCCAUGAACUGCUUUCAAAACUGUUUUUCUUGAGUAGUGCAGAGGUAGGCGGAAUUCCCGGUGUAGCGGUGGAAUGCGUAGAUAUCGGGAGGAACACCAGUGGCGAAGGCGGCCUACUGGGCACCAACUGACGCUGAGGCUCGAAAGUGUGGGUAGCAAACAGGAUUAGAUACCCUGGUAGUCCACACCGUAAACGAUGAUUACUAGGUGUUGGAGGAUUGACCCCUUCAGUGCCGCAGUUAACACAAUAAGUAAUCCACCUGGGGAGUACGACCGCAAGGUUGAAACUCAAAGGAAUUGACGGAAGGGCGAU
rnacentral:rRNA from 1 species